CCUAGGCGACGAUCAGUAACUGGUCUGAGAGGAUGACCAGUCACACUGGGACUGAGACACGGCCCAGACUCCUACGGGAGGCAGCAGUGGGGAAUUUUCCGCAAUGGGCGAAAGCCUGACGGAGCAAUACCGCGUGAGGGACGAAGGCUUUUGGGUCGUAAACCUCUUUUCCCUGAGAAGAAGAUCUGACGGUAUCAGGGGAAUAAGCAUCGGCUAACUUCGUGCCAGCAGCCGCGGUAAUACGAGGGAUGCAAGCGUUAUCCGGAAUUAUUGGGCGUAAAGCGUCCGCAGGUGGCUCUGUAAGUCUGUCGUUAAAGAAUGGGGCUCAACCCCAUACAGGCGAUGGAAACUACAAGGCUAGAGUUUGGUAGGGGUCACGGGAAUUCUUAGUGUAGCGGUGAAAUGCGUAGAUAUUAAGAAGAACACCAGCGGCGAAAGCGCGUGACUGGGCCAGUACUGACACUCAUGGACGAAAGCUAGGGGAGCGAAAGGGAUUAGAUACCCCUGUAGUC
rnacentral:rRNA from 1 species